UGACGGCGCAGGAUCGACCAUGAAACCCCAGCUUCCAGGACGCCGGACCACUCGCCAGGUGUCCGGUUCUCACGACUCCCUGGUCGCCACGUGGAAUAAGGCGGUGGCGCCGGAGUCUUGAGGCCCGGUACGGGAUCACUUGAGAGGAGAUCCUGGAGCCGGCGGUUGGGAUCGCGAACGGGGACGCGGUGGUGAUCCAAGUAGGGAGAAGGGCCGGCGAGCAGAGCGUAGUCACCGUCAACUGCCCCGAUCAGAUUGGCCUCGGAUGUGACCUCUGUCGCGUCUGCAUCAUUCGAGGAGGUGAAGAAGAUGCUUCUCAAGUUCUUUGUGAGCUUGAGCUUAUGAUUCACAGAGUAAAGGUUUCCACAACUCCAGAUGAUUGAGUCAUCGACGUUUUCAAUAUUACAGAUGGCAUAUGCCGAGGAUGAUAUACACGAUAACUCGUCGUGACAUGCGAUACAACGAGUUGAGAGAGGAGAUUGAGGAGAUUAAGUAUGACCCAGUUUAUGGACUCAGAUGACAUAUUGGACUACUCGAUCAACUAUUCUGGAAGCUCGAGCAGGAAGAGUUUCUAAUCAUGGAUAAUUAUAGAAUCUGGGUUUUGGUUUGAUCGCUACCGAUACACCCUAAUAAAAUAACACACCAUUUAUGGGGGCUCUCUAAAGGACGAAUCUCAUAUGCACAGUUGUGUGGAAUUACUUCACCAUGUGGAUCAAGAGAAUCUCAAAGAAUUUGAGGAGCAUCCACAAGAGGAUCCGAAUGUGGAUCCAAUAAAGAAUCCUGAAGUUGAUCUAACUUGAGAUUGUCCUAAUUAAGUCCAGGAUGAAAGAGAUAGUGUUGA